rnacentral:rRNA from 1 species
CAAAAACAUAGCCUGAUGUGUUUAUAAUAGGURUUUUCUGCUCAAUGAUUUAAUUAAAUGGCCGCAGUACCCUGACUGUGCAAAGGUAGCAUAAUAAUUUGGCUUCUAAUUAAAGUCUGGUAUGAAUGRAUAUAUGUAAGGCGAGCUGUAUGUUAAAUAGUGUUUGAAUUUACUUAGGAAGUGAAAAUACUUCCAUAAAAUUAAUAGACGAGAAGACCCCUGAAAUUUAUAUUAAUAUUUUGUUGGGGCAACAUAGGAGCAACUAACCUCUUAUAGAUCGCGUGAAGUCAUGCAGUAAGUAUAAAUUACUCUAGGGAUAACAGCAUAAUACUAAGUGUGUUUGUGACCUCGAUGUUGGAUUAGGGAGCUGUAGCUUAGAAAGUAACCAGAAUGCUCUGUUCGA